rnacentral:rRNA from 1 species
GAACGUCGUGAGACAGUUCGGUCCAUAUCCGGUGUAGGCGUUAGAGUAUUGAGAGGAGCGUAUCAUAGUACGAGAGGAUUUGGUACGGAGAACCAAUAGUGUAUUUGUUGUUUCGCCAGAAGCAAACGCAAAGUAGCCAUGUUCUAAGGUAUAAGCCCUGAAAGCAUCUAAGGGCGAAGGCCACCUCAAGAUGAGUACUCUCCAUUAGGUCGCGAGUAGACUACUCGUUAGAUAGGACUUAGGUGUAAAACUAGCAAUAGUUGUGCCGAGAGUUACUAAA